rnacentral:rRNA from 1 species
GAUGACCGCUGGCGGUAUGCUUAACACAUGCAAGUCGAACGGACUCUUCCUGCUUAUGUGCGGACCGGGGAGUACCGCGUGAGAAGCUGGCUUUGGGUUCGGUACAACCGCUGGAAACGGUGCCUAAUACCAGAUGUGCCGAGAGGUAAUAGAGAAAUUUGCUGCAGAUGAGCUCGCGUCUGAUUAGCUAGUUGGUGAGGUAAAGGCUCACCAAGGCAGCGAUCAGUAGCUGGUCUGAGAGGAUGACCAGCCACGCGGAGACUGAGACACGGCCCAGCCUCCUACGGGAGGCAGGAGUGGGAAAUUGCCCGCAAGGGGGGAACGUCUGACAGAGCAGUAGCGCGCGAGAGAAGAAGGCUCGUGGGUUGUACCGCUUUCGCCUGAGAGAAGAAGAGAAUGACGGUACCGAAUAAAGAAGCACCGGCUAACUCCGUG